rnacentral:sRNA from 1 species
AAAUUUGUAGAAAAGAUGGAUUCACUCGGACUAGAAACCGAUAGCAGUAAGUCAAAUACUUACUAAUCCGUCUCAGCAUUUUUUGACAACGGUUCAAUAUUAAUCAAUGCAAAAUUAACAUCAUUGUUGAAACAGCGUUUCCAUUUGGAUCAUGCAAACUUGUAUGACACCAACCAGCGUGCAAGGUUUCUAACCCCGUGAAACUCUGCAUAUUCGGUCAAGUGUUUAUGUAGAGCAGAGCGGACAGAAACCCUUGACUUGGGAAGAUGAUUUGAUAAUUGAUAUAUAUUCUGUUUAUCAUAGAAAAUACGGGAGAUUACCCUAACACAGUGCAUUUACUAUGAAGAGUCCCGAGAGUUCCGAAUGUCUAUGUGGUGUGUAAAUGUGAAGCGAGUAAAAACGUUGGUGAAAAAGUGUUGGGUUCUCUAAUAAUAACUAAAUUUUUAGAUGAAAGGUAUUUACAGUCUCAAAAUUGUUUGUUAUGAAUAAUUUGUCUGUUAUUUUCAAUGCAACUUCAUUAAUUUUCUCCAAAGUCCUUUUGGAGCGAUUCUGCAAUUUUCUGCUCCUUUACGGGUAUAUGGGAGGCAUUUAAACUGUGGUAAAGGACUGUCUCUAGACACAGAUUAUUCUAACUAGGCAGAGUGUAGUGAAAUUAAUAGCAUUAUUGUAGGGUUAAUGCUUGGUUAUGUAAAUGUCAACAAUACGAUGUGUCAAUGUAUUUCUGAUAUCAUAUGCAAUCAACCCGUGCACGUACAGGUCAAAGUCCAGUAGUUACAAAUGAUAAUAGAAUCUAUAAAGGUGUACGGACAAGACAAUGAAGAACGGAGAAGGCCUGCAGAAUUCAUGAUCAGUUAAAAUUAAGAGAUUAUUCAUCAAGCCGUUAUAAUACAAGUGUAAAGAGACCAAUUGUUCAAACAAAAGUUGUUUUGUAAGGUAGGAGUUAAUUUCAGCCGUUUCCUCCAUUACAAACACAAUUAUCUGUGGUGGAUUUUGCGGUCUUACGGACAUGAUAUUGAGUUGCAGUAGUAUUCUACAUUUGGUGUGCCACAUAUGAGAAUCACAGUCUUUAAUGAUGGCAUCUAGAGAUGAAGCCCAGGAUUUGGUGGAAUGUGAUCUUUGUCAACAACCAGUUUCGUUUUUCUGCAGACGAUGCGGGGUCAAUCUCUGUGACCCCUGUGUCCCCAUACAUCUACGUGUGAAAUCUAAAAACGGCCAUGACUUUGUAGAUUACACCAGCAAGGAUGAUGACGACACAUGCCACUGUGAUUCCCAUCCCCAAAACGAUUGUUCUGCAUACUGUAAAACUUGUGAUGCUCCGAUAUGCAUCCUUUGUGUUUCUAUCAAACACAAAUCACACGAAAUGUCCGAGCUGUCCGAUAAAAUUGAAGAAUUUUUAAAAGUUAUUAAACGGGAAAACGACCGACUUCAGUCAUCCAAACAUGAUUUAGAAAGAGUUCUUGAUCAUACAACGAAGCUAUUGUCCUCGAUACCCUCAAUUUACAAAAAGAAGAAAGAUGAAGUUACAGCGCGGGGAGAAGAGUGGCACAAACAGAUCAAGGAGAUCGUGAAGAAACUUCACCAGGAACUGGAUGACAUGCAACAGGAACACGAGGCUGUACUACAGAAACAAAGGAAAGAGUUUGAAGAAUUGAUUGGGAAAGUGAAUGAAAUGAACGGGAAAACAAUAAAAUUACAGAAAUCAAAGAACGUCACAGAAAUGCAGACAUUCAUACCAGUGAUUGAAAAACAAGAAACAUUGAGCGAAUUCUCUCAGUAUUCAUUUCCUACAUUCUAUGAAUUGAAAAUAGAUGUUAAUUAUUUGCAAACUUAUUUCGGACACAUUGAUAAAAUGCGGGAAAGGAAAACCUCCCUAAUAAAAAAGAAAUUUAAAGAAAUUGACUUUUUGGUUAAAACUAUAUUAGAGGUACCUACAGUUACUGCUGUUAUAGACACUAUGUUUCCUGUGAAUGAAAAGUUUAAAAAUCGUCUUUAUGACAUGACCCGUUACCGACGAUAACAAAGUGUGGAUGGGAGGAUACAGCAGAGAACUGAAGUUAUUUGAUCUCCAGGGACACCUCCUCAACACCGUCGGCGUUACUGUCAAAGGCGGGUACUUAUGUAUGCACAACAAACAAGUAGUGUAUACUGUCCAACCAAAUAAAGCCGUGAGAAUGAUAUCUGACAACGACACUGUGGUGACGAUGUUCACUACCGGGGACUGGAAGCCAUACGGCGUCACAAGCGCUGCGUCCGGUGAUCUAUUAGUCUGUCUCAGUAUAGACGAUCAGUCCAAAGUCGUCCGAUACAGCAGUACCGGUACCGUGCUCCAGGAAAUCCAGUACGACUCACAGUGUCAACCUCUGUACAAAAAGACGAAUUACAUCACUGAAAAUGUCAACGGUGACAUCAUUGUAACUGACUGGGGGAAAAAAGCUGUCAUUGCCGUCGAUAGAUUGGGCAUAUUCCGGUACUCGUAUCCUGAUGUUACAUAUGCUACGGUAACCACUGAUUCUAUCGGUCACGUCAUCGUUACAGAUUACUUAGGAGACAAGAUUCACAUGCUGGACAGAGACGGACGAUUCCUGAGGUACAUCAUUCCUGAAGGAGGAAUAAAUAGACCACGCAGCGUGUGUAUCCUUGGUGACGGUGAAAUGAUGGUGGGAGAGAGUCUGACCGGAAUCGCCAAAAGAAUCAAAUACCUAGAAGAAUGAGGAGAUAACUGCUUUAUUUAUCGCUUUGUUCUUAUUCCAAAUGGAUAUAAGAUAAUUUUGAACGGUUAAAAAAUUUAAAAUGUCAAGUAAAAUAAUUGACAAUGAAUAUCCAUAAUCUGAUAUCUCAAGUAAAUUACACAUGUAAAAAUAAUAGAUGUAAGCGCAACUAACGAUGGAAUUUAAUUGAUACUUCAAUCUUUAUAUAUACUGCACUUUGUUUUUAUAAAUUGAAAUUAUUAUUUGUAGACUAUCCUUAUCAAUUGUGCCUCUCACAAAGACAUUUCUAAACUUGAAUGAAACUUUACCUACUUUAUGGGAAAAAAAAUCACGCAAUCU